UACGGGGGGGGCAAGCGUUGUUCGGAAUUACUGGGCGUAAAGGGCUCGUAGGCGGCCAACUAAGUCAGACGUGAAAUCCCUCGGCUUAACCGGGGAACUGCAUCUGAUACUGGAUGGCUUGAGAUUGGGAGAGGGAUGCGGAAUUCCAGGUGUAGCGGUGAAAUGCGUAGAUAUCGUAAGGAAGACCAGUGGCGAAGGCGGGUCUCUGGACAGUUCCUGACGCUGAGGCACGAAGGCCAGGGGAGCAAACGGG
rnacentral:rRNA from 1 species